UGCGGGGUGGUGUAAUGGUAGCACCCGAGAUUCUGGCUCUCGUGAUCUUGGUUCGAAUCCAAGCCCCGCAGCCA
rnacentral:tRNA from 1 species